rnacentral:lncRNA from 10 species
GAUAAAAACAACUUUCACUUCUUCCUAUUGUAAUCGUGUGCCAUGGAUCUGAUCUGUACCAUGACCCUACAUAAGGCUGGAUGGCACCCUCAGGCUGAGGGCCCCAAUGUAUGUGUGGCUGUGGGUGUGGGUGUGGGUGUAUCUGCUGAGUAAGGAACACUAUUCUCAAGAUUCUAAAGCUCAAUUCAAGUGACACAUUAAUGAUAAACUCAGAUCUGAUCAAGAGUCUGGAUUUCUAACAGUCCUUGCUUCGGGGCUACUGAAGUGGCUGGUAGAAAAAGGGGCCUGAGUGAAGGAUUAUCAGUAUCGCGAUUUGCAGGAUUCCCUUCUGGGCUUCAUUCUGGAAACUUUUGUUAGGGCUGCUUUUAAGUGCCCACAUUUGAUGGAGGGUGGAAGUAAUUUGAAUGUAUUUGAUUUAUAUAUAUAUAUAUUUUUAAGGUUAAAAGAUGGUUGUAGCAUUUAAAAUGGAAAAUUUUCUCCUCGGUUUGCUAGUAUCUUGGGUGUAUUCUCUCUAAGUGUAGCUCAAAUAGGUCAUCAUGAAAGGUUAAAAAAGUGAGGUGGCCAUGUUACGCUGGUGGUUAAGGCCAGGGCCUCUCCUACCACUGUGCCACUGACUUGCUAUGUCACCCUGGGCAAGUCACUUAACUAUAAGGUGCCUCAGUUUUCCUUCUGUUAAAAUGGGGAUGAUAAUACUGACCUACCUCAAAGGGCAGUUUUGAGGCGUGACUAAUGCUUUUUAGAAAGCAUUUUGGGAUCCUUCAGCACAGGGAUUCUCAAGACCUGAGUAUUUUUUAUAAUAGCAAUGUCCACCAUCAACUUGAUAUGUCCGUGUGUCCCAGAUGCUGUCAUUAGUCUAUAUGGUUCUCCAAAAAAUUGAAUGAAUCCAUUGGAGAAGCAGUGGAUUAAC